CUCCAGGGCACCUAAGCGAACCCCAAGAUGCAGCAAAUACUAAUACUGUCCCAAGCAGGGAAUCCCUUAGCUUGAAAAGGGGGGCUAUUGGAAGGGGUCUAAUUGCUUGUGAAGGUCCUGGGUACCGAAUGGAGAGGACCAGCCAGUUCGUCCUAACAAUCCCCACUCCGUGUUGAGAAGACCAAGGCUGUAAACCGGAGCCCUUGGGGGUGAUCAAUAAUCUUAAAACAGACCAGAUACAACGAAGAGAUGCUACCGCCUAUAAGCUAAAGUUCUGAACCACCGAGUGCAGAAGAGUCCUUCAGAGUAACUUCUUGGGUCCACGCUUGUGGGAGGAAGUUGAAUCCCGGCACAGGAGAGCAGUCUUUGCCUUCUCCCUCCAAGGAGCAACCUGGUCUGUCCCUGGCAAAGAGUAGUGUGUGAGUGGUGAGCUUUGCCUUCCAGUCAGCUCAAAGGAGCUGGUCCUCUCAGGCUCUUUCUAGUGGCUCCAAUGCUGCCCCAAGGUCAGCCCCAAAGUCAGGUUCUGGAGACACAAAGACAGCUCUGCCGUCUUGAGCUCGAGAUUCCCUGACACCAAGAUCAGCCAGAGUACAGCCAUUCCCCUCAGUUUGUCUGGAUAUUCCAUCUUCCAGACAAGGACCCUGAACGGCUGGCUACAGCUUCUGCAACAGUGUGGAGGCGCACCGUGCUUCUAGCUUGGCGUUGACUCGGCAAGCAUCCUUCAAGCCGAGAGAGAGCUACUUUCUCUUGAAGGCAGAAUAGAGCCUGUUAGGUGUGACUGGAGAUGAAAAAUAGCCUGCUACUCUGAGGAGGAGGCAAGGGUAGACAUGGGGUUCAUGCUGCCAGCUGCCAGAUAGAAGGGGCAGGGGUUAGUCUAAUCUGGCCAGUUCCGUCCCAGAGCUCAGCAAGCAGAGGCUAAUCACUAACUGUCAAGCUGCGGUUUUAAUCAGCCCUGCUCCUCAGUGGAGAUAGAUUUAAUAUCAAGGCACAUUUUCAGAGCCAUUAGCUUAAUUAUGACAAGUGUCUGCAAACUGGACAUCUCUGCUUUCGGACCUGAGUGACAGCGUUUAAUUCUCUGGGCCCAUGGGACCUCCGGGUGCUUCACAAAAUCGGCGUCCAUUAAAGGGCUAAGCAUUUCUCUA